CCCCUGCGAGUCCAGACGAAACGACGACGUCUAUAGACCUGCUCUCGCAUUUCUCUUUCUAUUAAUCAAUCGCAAAUUUACACGUACCCGAAAUAUGGCUACCGGUGGCGAUAACGAUAACGAUAACGGCGCGGCUGCCGCCGUUGGGGCACCGAAGAAGAAGCAGCGCGUCGGUAGCAACAGCCUUCUCUCCUCCUCUCUCGCUGUCAAUGAUUCUUUCUCAGAAGGAAACCCGGCCGAAAGUCGUCAUAAACCGCCUGCCAUCCCCCUAUCAUCUUCUCAUUCUAUGUUUCCCGUCUCCUCUUCCUCCACCUCUUGCGGCUUCAACGACCCUGCCACCGGUGACGUCAUCCUCAGCCUUCGUCUUGAUCGUCAAUCUUCUCCAUUUGAUUGCGUGGAGGUGCCAUUCGAAUCCAGCUCUGUUGCUACUCUGGGACAGCCGGUCACGCACAUCUACUUGCAUUCGCGAGUUCUUUGCCGCUCGAAAUAUUUUUCUGCCCUACUUUCCGACCGCUGGCGACAGCGGAAUGAUACGUCAUCGUCAAAUCAGGCUGAAAGUUCUCACAAAAUUAACCGUUUUCACCUUGUUGUUCCAGCUACUACGGAGUCUAUCAGCCACCACUUAACAGUCCUGAAACUGCUUUACUCCGAUGAUUUGUUGUCUUCACUAGAUAGUGUCUCCACCGCGCUUAAUUUGCUUCCCAUCGCGCUUGAGCUUUUGUUUGAGGACUGCAUUAAAGCCUGUGUUAAAUUCCUUGAGGCAGUGCCGUGGUCAGAGGAUGAGGAGAAGAAGAUAUUAGAUUUGAUUCCUUUUCUGAGUGAAGAAGAGUCGAAAGAGCUCCAAGCCAGGAUGUCGCCGUUGAAAAAUGACUCUUCCGAGGAAAUGCUCCACGGGUUGAUACUAGCUGCAAUUCAUAAUCAUUCGAACAUGGCUUUUGCUAAGGCAUUUGUAGCAAAACUGAUGAGAGAUUUUUCUUCAAGGGAGUCAGCAAGGAGGGUUUUGGAUACAGCGUUUGACAAGAUUUUGAGUGUUGUGAAGCAGUCGAUGGAGGAGUACUCGAGUCCGGUUUUUACAGGGGAUCAUAAUGAGACAGAGGCGAUUCAGAGGCUCAAUUUGCAUACAGCGAUGAUUAAUGGGAAGCACUUGUUGUGGUUGAUGGAGAGGAUGAUUGAACUAAGAGUGGCGGAUACAGCUGUGAAAGCGUGGAGUCAGCAGACUUCCUUUACGGGAGAUUUACAGAGGGCAUUGCGUGAUGAUGCAUGGAGAAAUAUUGUUCCAAGCCUUCCCUCUGUAGUGCUUCGUUGCACAUGCAGGCUUGCCAAUGCGGUUGCCGCAGGGAACAUUUUGGCAGAUAGACAGGUUAGGAUGGAUCUUGUGAGAGAUUGGCUGCCCCUGUUGAUUACAUGCAAAGCUAGCGUCUCGCCUAUGGGGCCAAAUCACAAGUCACUUUAUCUGGAGCUGGAAGAAACAUUUUUGAGAAUUAUAUCUACUCUCCCCAUAUCAGAUGCACAAGAGUUAUUGCAGCAAUGCCUUAGCUUUUCGACUCGUAACAUGGAUGACUGCCCUCACUUGGUUGCAGCUUUUACUACUUGGUUUCGCCGUGCAAACAGACCCCAAAAACCAGAUCGCCGUGGGUGAUGGCCAGUGUUUGCUUUUUAAAAUGCAGCACUUGAAUGGAACCUAAAGAUAUGGUUUUGGUUACUAUAAAUUUGCACAUUCAGCUCACAGGGGGGUAAGGCAAGCAGGUACACAUAUUCAGCUUACUGGAGGGUAAGGAAAGCAGGUAGAUGUCUCAUUUCUGGUACUCAAAACUUACUUGAAGGUGUGGAAGGGAUCCAUGGCACCUUCAGCUUUGUACAUACGCUGUUUGUCAUUACCUAGCACAGGCCAUCCCGUCUCAUCUCUGUUGACAAAUUUUCAUGUAUGUUUUCACUGGACCUGUAUCCUUUCUAGCCAAUAGUUGUAACUAUUUGCCAGUGAAUGGCACAACACAAUUCGACAUGCAUCAAAACAGUUGCAUUUCCUCGAUUCAUCAUACUGCACAAGCUACAUCAGAAGGUCUAAGCUCAUUGAUAAGCAACAUGGGUAUACCUUGGAUGUUUAGGUUCAGCCAGGGAGAAUUCAUGUAUGGAUACAAAUACAGUUUUAUUUUCAUACAUUCUUGCAGUAGGUUAAAUGAAACGAACCAGUGAGCUUAUCCAACAGUCUCGACUUGAUCUGCACAAAGGUUAGAUAA